CAUUAAUGAUUGCGAAUGGUUGCCUUCGGUGCUGGCUCUUGCAAGUGCACGUUGGUGGCUUUCAUCCAAUACCCCUGUGAACCUUUGGCCUCUUGCUAGCUUCGGCUGGCAGAGGAUUUUUACACACUCGAAUGUAAUGAAAACUAUUGUCGUGCGCAAGCACUAAUGUACAACUUUCAACAACGGAUCUCUUGGCUCUCGCAUCGAUGAAGAACGCAGCGAAAUGCGAUAAGUAAUGUGAAUUGCAGAAUUCAGUGAAUCAUCGAAUCUUUGAACGCACCUUGCACCCUUUGGUAUUCCGAAGGGUAUGCUCGUUUGAGUGUCAUUGUACUCUCACACUCUCUGAUCCUUUGGAUUCAGGGAGCGGUGGACUUGGGUGUUUGCUGCUUUCCUGGUGGCUCACCUCAAAUGCGUUAGUGCACCUCUUGGUUGGACAUAGUACGGCGUGAUAAGUAUCUUCGCCGGCACCUCGCGAGAGGGUGGCCGAUUGGGAGCUCUGUGCUUUCAAACCGUCUUCGGACACUCUUGACAACUUGACCUCAAAUCGAGUAGGACUACCCGCUGAACUUAAGCAUAUCAAUAAGCGGAGGAA
rnacentral:rRNA from 1 species